ensembl:rRNA 5S_rRNA 5S ribosomal RNA
GUCUAUCGCCAUACCACCCUGAACACACCUGAUCUCAUCUGAUAUUGGAAGCUAAGCAGGGUUGUGCCUGGUUAGUACUUGGAUGUGAGAAUCCCAUGGACAGAGAAGCCUGGUGGGCUAUGGUCC